rnacentral:rRNA from 1 species
CAGUUGAAAAUGGAGGGGAUGAGCUGUGGAUAGGGGUGAAAGGCCAAUCAAACACCGUGAUAGCUGGUUCUCCCCGAAAUGCAUUUAGGUGCAGCGUUGCGUGGUUCUUGUCGGAGGUAGAGCACUGGAUGGUCUAGGGGGCCUAUCAGCUUACCGAAAUCAGCCAAACUCCGAAUGCCGGCAAGUGGAGCGUGGCAGUGAGACGGCGGGGGAUAAGCUUCGUCGUCGAGAGGGAAACAGCCCAGAUCAUCAGCUAAGGCCCCUAAGUGGUAGCUCAGUGGAAAAGGAUGUGGAGUUGCGCAGACAGCCAGGAGGUUGGCUUGGAAGCAGCCAUCCUUGAAAGAGUGCGUAAUAGCUCACUGGUCAAGUGAUUCCGCGCCGACAAUGUAGCGGGGCUUAAGUUAUCCGCCGAAGCUGUGGCAAACCCGUUUUGCGGGUUUGGGUAGGGGAGCGUCCUGUACGAGGUGAAGCUGCCGGGUGACCGUGUGGUGGAUUGUGCGGGAGUGAGAAUGCAGGCAUGAGUAGCGAAUGACGGGUGAAAAACCCGUCCGCCGAUUAUCCAAGGGUUCCAGGGUCAAGUUAAUCUGCCCUGGGUGAGUCGGGACCUAAGGCGAGGCCGACAGGCGUAGUCGAUGGAUAACCAGUUGAUAUUCUGGUACCGGCUUGUCACCGUCCGUGUCGAGGUGUGUGAUGCUAAGCGUGCGAGCCUGCCAUUGUGAUGUCUUUGAUGUUGUGGUGGUGUGGUGAGUGUGUGAACCGAUCAUGUAGUAGGCAAGCUGCGGAGGGACGCAGGGAGGUAGCUCAUCCCCGGCGAUGGUUGUCCGGGGCUAAAUGUGUGGACCGUCUGGUAGGUAAAUCCGCUGGGCAUAUGGUUGAGGCAUGAUGGCGAGCCCACGUGUGUGGGUGAGUGAGUGAUCCUGUACUGUCGAGAAAAGCUUCGUGAGCGAGGUGGCUGGUCCGCCCGUACCCUAAACCGACACUGGUGGAUAGGUAGAGUAUACCGAGGCGAUCGAGAUCAUCAUGGUGAAGGAACUCGGCAAAAUGCCCCCGUAACUUCGGGAUAAGGGGGACCUGAACUGUUAAGGCCUGUACGGCUGGUAGCAGUGAGGGGCGCAGAGACCAGGGGGAAACGACUGUUUACCAAAAACACAGGUCCGUGCGAAGUCGUAAGACGAUGUAUACGGACUGACUCCUGCCCGGUGCUGGAAGGUUAAGGGGAACUGUUAGCGUUGGCGAAGCGGUGAACUUAAGCCCCAGUAAACGGCGGUGGUAACUAUAACCAUCCUAAGGUAGCGAAAUUCCUUGUCGGGUAAGUUCCGACCUGCACGAAUGGAGU